rnacentral:rRNA from 1 species
GAUGAACGCUGGCGGCGUGCCUAAUACAUGCAAGUCGAGCGAACAGAGGAGGAGCGCGCCCCGCUGACGCGAGCGACGGGCGGGUGAGGAACAGGUGGAUAACCGACAGAGGGGACUGGGGUAAGGACGGGGGACCGGAGCCAGUACCGGACAAGAGGGAGAAAGGGAGGGAUCAUUGGAGAAAGAGGGAUCUGCUGAGACUAAGAGGUGGAACCGAGCCGCAUUAGCUAGUUGGUAGGGUAACGGCCUACCAAGGCGACGAUGCGUAGCCGAUCUGAGAGGAUGAUCGGUCACACUGGAACUGAGACACGGUCCAGACUCCUACGGGAGGCAGCAGUGGGGAAUCUUCCGCAAUGGGCGAAAGCCUGACGCAGCCACGCCGCGUGUGUGAUGAAGGUCUUCGGAUCGUAAAGCUCUUUUAUUUGGGAAGAACAGCUGUGUGUGUAUCUCUGCCCGUCUUGACGGUACCUACUCAGAAAGCCCCGGCUAACUUCGUG